rnacentral:misc_RNA from 1 species
GGAAGUAGAAGUCGUAACAAGGUUUCCGUAGGUGAACCUGCGGAAGGAUCAUUAUUGUAUAACCGAGGUGCGAGGGCUGUCGCUGACCCGAAAGGUUGUGCACGCCCGAGUGCCCUCACACACAUCCAUCUCACCCCUAUGUGCACCACCGCGUGGGUCCCCCUUUGGCUUGUUCGGAGGGGGGCUUACGUUUUCACACAAACUUUGUAUGCAGUGUAGAAUGUAUUUUUUGUUUUUGCGAUCACGCAAUCAAUACAACUUUCAACAACGGAUCUCUUGGCUCUC